GUCCCCGCCCCCUGCUGGGCCUCUCUCCGCAGCCGCGAGACCCGCGCUUGGCGCAUAGGCCGGUUCUAAUUUACAAGAACACCGCGGCCUGAGGCCGGAGAGUCCCUUCAACCCGGGAGGCGGCGGCUGCAGGGAGCCGAGACGGCGCCAUUGCCCUCCAGCCUGGGCAAAAAGAGCGAAACUCCGUCUCAAAAAAAAAAAAACAUGGCCGAAACCAGGAAGCUGCGCGAUGGCGCCACGGCCCCUCUUCUCCCGGCCUGUGUCCGGAAGGUUUCCCUCCGAGGCGCCCCGGCUCCCGCAAGCGGAGGAGAGGGCGGGACGUGCCGGGGCCGGAGCUCAGAGGCCCUGGGGCCGCUCUGCUCUCCCGCCAUCGCAAGGGCGGCGCUGACCUGAGGCCUCCCCGCAAAGGUCCCCGAGGCGGCGGCGGCGGCGGGCUGUGAGAACCGCAGAAGAACGCUGGGCGCGCAGCGACCCGUCCACCCCCGCGAGGAGAGACUUCCACAGAGGCAGCGUUUCCACAGCCCAAAGCCACGUUUCUAGGGUGAUGCAGCCCCAGUAAGUUCCUGGCGGGGAAGCUCACGGCUGUCAAAAGAACUCUUCGCUCCAGCCGGCGCACGAAGGGGAGGAGGGCAGGAGGCUGCCGCCCGCACAGGUCAUCUGAUCACGUCGCCCGCCCUAGUCUGCUUUUGUGAAUCUCCACUUUGUUCAACCCCCACCCGCCGUCUCUCCCUCCCUGCGCCUUCCCUCUAACCUUAAAGACCCAGCUACCUCUACGCAAAUGGUAGCUACCUCUGCGCAGGUGGAAGUUGAGUUCGGUUCACGCGGGACCCUCUUCCCUGUGGCAAGCUGCUGAAGGAGACCUGCUGUUACUGCUUUAGCUGCUGUUCUGCUUAAUCUCAGACAGCUGGAAGGUAGUAUUCCGCCCUCGCCCAGCCACCCGAGUAAAUGAGAAUGAUGACUGACUGAGACCCUGAUGGUGGUGGCUUAGGCUUAAUCUCAGACAGCUGGAAGGUAGUAUUCCGCCCUCACCCAGCCACCCGAGUAAAUGAGAAUGAUGACUGACUGAGACCCUGAUGGUGGUGGCUUAGGCAAGAUGAACGUCUGAAAUGGAGGCCCAGGGCUGCCACGAUGGCUCUGUAGUCAUCAGGGAGGGAGCUCCUUUUAUCUUGUUACCUACUCCCCUCUUGUGCCCCUUUCUUCCCUUGAUCUAAGAAGGUUGCUCCGGAUCUCGCCAUCUGGCCUGCGUUCAAUCAGCAGAAGCUUCCUGGAGGAGCAGGAGGAGGCACUGUGCUCGCAUCACAUACCAGUGGCCAGAAGUUGGCUUCAGGGAAGCUCAGGAAAUAGGAUGCGAGAAGCCAUGAGACCUCCCCAAACUCUGCAGUAACAGAGUCAACAAGACAAUGGCUUAAAGAUGGAGAGACCAGUUGAUCGGUCACACAAGCUGUUCCACGAUAAUUCUUGUGUCAGAAGGGGAGGCUGACUACCAGGACCACUGGCCCCACUUCCAGCCCCUCCAUUCUGAGUACACUUCAGAGGGCUCUGGCAGGGUGAGGGGGUCUUGGUGGUGCCACAGAGAGUAAAGGUCUAGCACACCCAUUGUGGAGAUAUUUCAUGGGGACAACCCAGUGACUUCACUUGAAGUAAAGUGGGAUUUUCCAACCUUGA
rnacentral:lncRNA from 10 species